ACUUGGAGUUUGUUGGCAGAUAUCACGUGAGUUUGUCUGCACCUGGGUAGAUUCAAUUCUUCCAGGUGCCGGCAAAAUUAGAAUUAGUUUUUUUAUACGGGUGGAUUGUCACAUACAGCCUGAGGAAGCGCAGGGCUAAGAGAAGCAGAUCUACUUUCUGUGGGUCCUUGCCCUUAGGGGGAAGAGCCCUUUGAAGCAAGCAGGGAAUCUGACUGCAAUACUCCAUGUACCCUCAUGAUGGCAGCCCUGAGAGAACAAAAAGAGACCUUAUAUUAGAGGAGGGGGAGAGUGAGAGAGCUGCGCAGACUCUGCCCCGGG